AUUGAACGCUGGCGGCAUGCCUUACACAUGCAAGUCGAACGGCAGCACGGGUGCUUGCACCUGGUGGCGAGUGGCGAACGGGUGAGUAAUAUAUCGGAACGUACCUUAUUGUGGGGGAUAACGCAGCGAAAGCUGUGCUAAUACCGCAUAAUCCAUAAGGGGGAAAGCGGGGGACCGUAAGGCCUCGCGCAAUUAGAGCGGCCGAUACCUGAUUAGCUAGUUGGUGAGAUAAAGGCUCACCAAGGCAACGAUCAGUAGCUGGUCUGAGAGGACGAUCAGCCACACUGUGACUGAAACACGGACCAGACUCCUACGGGAGGCAGCAGUUGGGAAUUUUGGACAAUGGGGGCAACCCUGAUCCGGCAAUGCCGCGUGAGUGAAGAAGGCCUUCGGGUUGUAAAGCUCUUUUGUCAGGGAAGAAACAGCAGCUCUAACACAGUUUGCGAAUGACGGUACCUGAAGAAUAAGCACCGGCUAACUACGUGCCAGCCGCCGCCGUAA
rnacentral:rRNA from 1 species